GACGAACGCUGGCGGCGUGCUUAACACAUGCAAGUCGAACGGAAAGGCCCUGCUUGCAGGGUACUCGAGUGGCGAACGGGUGAGUAACACGUGGGUGAUCUGCCCUGCACUUCGGGAUAAGCCUGGGAAACUGGGUCUAAUACCGGAUAGGAGCCAUUUUUAGUGUGAUGGUUGGAAAGUUUUUUCGGUGUAGGAUGAGCUCGCGGCCUAUCAGCUUGUUGGUGGGGUAAUGGCCUACCAAGGCGGCGACGGGUAGCCGGCCUGAGAGGGUGGACGGCCACAUUGGGACUGAGAUACGGCCCAGACUCCUACGGGAGGCAGCAGUGGGGAAUAUUGCACAAUGGGCGCAAGCCUGAUGCAGCGGCGCCGCGUGGGGGAUGACGGCCUUCGGGUUGUAAACUCCUUUCGCUAGGGACGAAGCUUUUUGUGACGGUACCUAGAUAAGAAGCACCGGCUAACUACGUG
rnacentral:rRNA from 1 species